rnacentral:lncRNA from 1 species
CUACAGUCUCCGGAGAAAGCCGAGCUUGAAGCUGCUGGGGAUCUGGGUCAUCUCCAGGGCGUGUGGUGAGGCGGUGAAAGGAAAUGUGACUUGAAAAAGAUAUUUGGUAUCCAGCAUCAGCUGUGCCGAGUCGCCCCGGUUAUUCAGAAGAGCCUGAGGAGCACAUGUCCUUGCGCAGGAGGAGGCUGUUGAGGGUCACCGCCCCGACCAGGUAGAACAACUGCUUGACCGCCUGCCUCACAAUCUCGGGGUCCAGGCCGUUCUGACACAUGGUGCUGUAGAAGUAGCUCAGCUGCUGCAGGAUGGACGUCAUGGUGUAGGCAUCUGUGUCGUCGAUGCUGGAUGAGCGCUUCCGGAAACCAGUGGGCUUCAGGCCGGAAAUGCCCUGCAGGCUCUCAUACUCCAGCAUGCCUGGCACUGCCAGAAGGGCGGAAGGCUCCUUACACAGGGGUCAGCCGGGUCACACGUCCCCUAAUCUCAGGUGUCUUUGCUCAUAGUCAGUGGGUAUCGUUGUGAUAGAGUGGUGUGGCUAACCUUGGUUGCCAGCUUGAUGGGAUUUAGACUAGGAGACAAACUUUUGGGCCUGACUAUAAGGGAUUUUCC